rnacentral:rRNA from 1 species
AUGGCGAUCGAGAUUCCCGUGCCCUUGAGCGAGGAGGAGGAGAUCAGGUCCAUGGUAAACGAAGGAAUAGUGGAUCCGCACCUGCAGGAGUUCUUCCGGACCAUGCAGUCGGAGCUGCAGGCGGCGAGGGAGUCCCCCACGCUGGCGCUGCUGGACUGGUUGGACGGCUUCGAGGAUGCCGCCGCCGCGUUCACCCGCGAGAUAGUGGAGGUCGAGGAGGACCUCAGGCACGGCGCGGCCGUGUUCGACGGGAGGGCCGGCGAGGAGGCGCUGGUGUCCGAGUUGCGUAGCCAGGCCGCGUGGUGCGGCGCGCGGUGCGCGGAGGCGGCCGCGCUGGUGGCCGACGCGCGGCGCCUACGGGACGGGUACCUGAGGACGAUGCCGAGGACGGCGGACGAGCAGGAACUCGUCGACUCGGCAGCGUCCGCUUUCCAAGAGUUCUUGGCCAGGGAGAUGGACGGCGGCGGAGUCCCCGAGGCCGACGCGGCGAGGGCCGAGGCGAUAGACGCGGCGGCCAGGGCCGGCCAGGGCGUGGGCGCGAGGUUCGCGGCGACGUUCGUGGGGCUGGCCGAGAGGCUCAGGCGGCGAGCGGAGGCGUACGCGGGCACGGGCACGGGCGAGGACCAGGCGGUCGCGGAGGCGGUGCGGCGUCACGCGGCUGCGGUGGAGGCGCUGUGCGCGGACCCGGAGGCUCUGGUGGCGCGGAUGCUGGCGUCUGGGUGGUGGAGGUUGUGGAGGUACCUCAACCGGCACGCCGGCGGAAUAACACCAACGCAAUCCUCCAUGCUCGCGACGCCGACGCCGGCGACGCAUCCACAUCUUACAUGA